rnacentral:rRNA from 1 species
GACGAACGCUGGCGGCGUGCUUAACACAUGCAAGUCGAACGGAAAGGCCCCUUUUUGGGUACUCGAGUGGCGAACGGGUGGGUAACACGUGCGUAACCUGCCCUUCACUUCGGGAUAACUUCAGUAAACUGGGGCUAAUACCGGCUAGGAAUCCUUUCUUCAUGCUGGGGGUUGGAAAGCUUCUGCGGUUUGGGAUGGACUCGCGGGUUAUCAGCUUGUUGGUGGGGGAGUGGCUUACCAAGGGUUGGACGGGUAGCCGGCCUGAGAGGGCGACCGGCCACAUUGGGGCUGAGAUACGGCCCAGACGCCUACGGGGGGCAGCGGUGGGGGAUAAUGCACAAUGGGCGGAAGCCUGAUGCAGCCACGCCGCGUGCGGGAUGACGGCCUUCGGGUUGGAAACCGCUUUCAGCAGGGGCGAAGCUUGUGGUGACGGUACCUGCAGAAGAAGCACCGGCUAACUACGUG